GAUGAACGCUGGCGGCGUGCCUAAUACAUGCAAGUCGAGCGAACGGACGAGAAGCUUGCUUCUCUGAUGUUAGCGGCGGACGGGUGAGUAACACGUGGAUAACCUACCUAUAAGACUGGGAUAACUUCGGGAAACCGGAGCUAAUACCGGAUAAUAUUUUGAACCGCAUGGUUCAAAAGUGAAAGACGGUCUUGCUGUCACUUAUAGAUGGAUCCGCGCUGCAUUAGCUAGUUGGUAAAGUAACGGCUUACCAAGGCAACGAUGCAUAGCCGACCUGAGAGGGUGAUCGGCCACACUGGAACUGAGACACGGUCCAGACUCCUACGGGAGGCAGCAGUAGGGAAUCUUCCGCAAUGGGCGAAAGCCUGACGGAGCAACGCCGCGUGAGUGAUGAAGGUCUUCGGAUCGUAAAACUCUGUUGUUAGGGAAGAACAUAUGUGUAAGUAACUGUGCACAUCUUGACGGUACCUAAUCAGAAAGCCACGGCUAACUACGUGCCAGCAGCCGCGGUAAUACGUAGGUGGCAAGCGUUAUCCGGAAUUAUUGGGCGUAAAGCGCGCGUAGGCGGUUUUUUAAGUCUGAUGUGAAAGCCCACGGCUCAACCGUGGAGGGUCAUUGGAAACUGGAAAACUUGAGUGCAGAAGAGGAAAGUGGAAUUCCAUGUGUAGCGGUGAAAUGCGCAGAGAUAUGGAGGAACACCAGUGGCGAAGGCGACUUUCUGGUCUGUAACUGACGCUGAUGUGCGAAAGCGUGGGGAUCAAACAGGAUUAGAUACCCUGGUAGUCCACGCCGUAAACGAUGAGUGCUAAGUGUUAGGGGGUUUCCGCCCCUUAGUGCUGCAGCUAACGCAUUAAGCACUCCGCCUGGGGAGUACGACCGCAAGGUUGAAACUCAAAGGAAUUGACGGGGACCCGCACAAGCGGUGGAGCAUGUGGUUUAAUUCGAAGCAACGCGAAGAACCUUACCAAAUCUUGACAUCCUUUGACAACUCUAGAGAUAGAGCCUUCCCCUUCGGGGGACAAAGUGACAGGUGGUGCAUGGUUGUCGUCAGCUCGUGUCGUGAGAUGUUGGGUUAAGUCCCGCAACGAGCGCAACCCUUAAGCUUAGUUGCCAUCAUUAAGUUGGGCACUCUAAGUUGACUGCCGGUGACAAACCGGAGGAAGGUGGGGAUGACGUCAAAUCAUCAAGCCCCUUAUGAUUUGGGCUACACACGUGCUACAAUGGACAAUACAAAGGGCAGCGAAACCGCGAGGUCAAGCAAAUCCCAUAAAGUUGUUCUCAGUUCGGAUUGUAGUCUGCAACUCGACUACAUGAAGCUGGAAUCGCUAGUAAUCGUAGAUCAGCAUGCUACGGUGAAUACGUUCCCGGGUCU
rnacentral:rRNA from 1 species